GAUGAACGCUGGCGGCGUGCCUAAUACAUGCAAGUCGAGCGAACAGACGAGGAGCUUGCUCCUUCGACGUUAGCGGCGGACGGGUGAGUAACACGUAGGUAACCUACCUAUAAGACUGGGAUAACUUCGGGAAACCGGAGCUAAUACCGGAUAAUAUUUCGAACCGCAUGGUUCGAUAGUGAAAGAUGGCUUUGCUAUCACUUAUAGAUGGAGCUGCGCCGUAUUAGCUAGUUGGUAAGGUAACGGCUUACCAAGGCAACGAUACGUAGCUGACCUGAGAGGGUGAUCGGCCACACUGGAACUGAGACACGGUCCAGACUCCUACGGGAGGCAGCAGUAGGGAAUCUUCCGCAAUGGGCGAAAGCCUGACGGAGCAACGCCGCGUGAGUGAUGAAGGUCUUCGGAUCGUAAAACUCUGUUAUUAGGGAAGAACAAACGUGUAAGUAACUGUGCACGUCUUGACGGUACCUAAUCAGAAAGCCACGGCUAACUCCGUG
rnacentral:rRNA from 1 species